UCGUAUUAGAUGACUCAAGUCCACAUUACUAUAUAGAUAUCUGGGUGCAUAAUCUCAUAUCCAUAUUAGUGCAUGUAUCUGAAUUCAUAAUAUAAUUUACUGGCGUUGUGAAUACGCAGGAAUAAUCGAUUGGGUUAUACUUGAAAAUUAUUAAAAAAAUAAUCACAUUGAAUUGAUUUUUGCUUGCUUGUUAUCGGCAACAACGUAUGCAGCAGGAAAUUCACCAAUUACUUGGUAUUUUCUUCUCCAGUUCUUCCGUAGUCUGCAUGCAAGGAUUAAAACAAGUUCCAAGGCCCUCGAGACUCGUAUGUCUUCGCUAGAAGAGUGAAUGAAAACUGAUCAGAAAUGGGUUUAGAAAGGAGAAAGACAGAUUAACAAAGAAAAUAAAUCCCAAUGAAAGCAGGGACGUUAUUAGUAAUUCUUUUUUACUUUCAUAAAUUACCCGUGAAUAGAUGAGGAAAGUUUAACGACUCCUUACUUGCAGGAAACUACGGGGUAAUUGCAUGCUUUAAAAGAGAAGCUACAGUGAACUUUCUGCAUGAUCGCUGUUUCCUUCCUCUUUAUAUAGAGUCUCUUGAACCCUAUUUCUUCAAUAAUUCAUU
rnacentral:lncRNA from 1 species